UUUAACAGAAAUUAACAGCAACUACAAUUAGAUCCCAACAUUUCUGGCACUAGAAGCAGUUUCUCUCUAAAGCAAAUGGGAUUACUGGGCUGGCUCUCUUGAUCUGGGGGAAAAAACCCAUCUCCCCACCUCCCUCUCCCAUAUCCCGUGUUUCCAUCCCCUCUUCCCCAAGCACGUAUAUUCUGACCAUUUGAGUGGAAAGUUCAAAGAAAGCCACACAGCUACACCCACUCAGCGCUCCUAGGGGUGGAAGAGCAAAGUUCUAGGGCAGAGCCUUCCUUCCCAGAGCCUGGCCAUGCAGUCGCUCUCGGAUACCUGCUCCACUAAGCGCCGCGUCUGAAGAUCUGCUGCCACGGAACAGUUGCGUCUCCAUCUGGCUGCCAACCCACCCGAGCUUUCUUCUCCUCCUCCACCACCACCUUCCUGCCUUCCCCCUCCUCCCCCUCCUUUCCGUCUUCCCUCUCCACCCCCGCCCCCAAUCUCCUCCUCUUUUUCUCACUACAAGCGGUUGCUGAUGCUGAAGCUGAGCGUCACUUCGGCUCCCACGGCAGACAUGGCGACAUUGACAGUGGUCCAGCCGCUUACUCUGGACAGAGAUGUUGCAAGAGCAAUUGAAUUACUGGAAAAACUACAGGAAUCUGGAGAAGUACCAGUACACAAGCUACAGUCUCUCAAAAAAGUGCUUCAGAGUGAGUUUUGUACAGCAAUCCGAGAGGUAUAUCAAUACAUGCAUGAAACGAUAACUGUUAAUGGCUGUCCCGAAUUCCGUGCAAGGGCCACAGCAAAGGUAUUCUCGUGUGUACACUGUAAGAGAAUUUAGACAUCAGUGGCAGCCCAGAGUCUAGAACCAGUACUACUUCCCAGGCCACAGUUGCAGCAUUUGCAGCUAGUGAAGGCCACUCCCACCCUCGGGUAGUCGAACUGCCAAAGACUGAUGAAGGCCUUGGUUUUAACGUGAUGGGAGGAAAGGAGCAAAAUUCUCCCAUUUAUAUCUCUCGCAUCAUUCCUGGAGGGGUGGCUGAAAGACACGGAGGCCUCAAAAGAGGAGACCAGCUGCUAUCGGUGAAUGGAGUGAGCGUGGAAGGAGAGCACCAUGAGAAAGCUGUGGAACUACUCAAGGCCGCAAAGGACAGUGUCAAGCUGGUGGUCCGAUACACCCCGAAAGUCCUGGAAGAAAUGGAGGCUCGCUUUGAGAAGCUGCGAACAGCCCGGCGUCGGCAACAGCAGCAAUUGCUCAUUCAACAGCAGCAGCAGCAGCAGCAACAAACACAGCAAAACCACAUGUCCUAGGCCCUUGAAGGAAAGCUACUUGAUCCAACAUCUAAUAGUCACAAGUCUGAAAAACGUGCUUCAGAAUCCCAGCACAUAGUAAAGGAAAAGACAACACUGAUAAUUAUACCUGUCAAGAAGCUGUGAACACAUGGUGUAUAAAUUCUUUACCACGGCAACUCGACACCUUCUUUCUCUGGGCUUGAGCGGCCCUGUCGCCCCCCACCCCUCCCUGUUCACUGGCUCUUUACACACACAGACCUUCCAUUCACUGCAGUGGGAAUCCUCAGUGUGUAGAGGGAGAGAUGCUCUCCAGUCUGCAGACCGAAACAGUGUGAGAAGAGUAAAGUCUGUGACUUUGGAAUAAAUCACCAGGGCCAGGAUUAAGUGAGUCUUUGGUCUAUAGCUUUUCCAGAGAUUAGCAAGCCGCUCCUCAGGCCCUAGUUCAAACUGUAUCAGUUCAAGGUGGUGGUCACUUGAAAGAAUCCUACACUCUGCCCUUGGCCCUGGCCCCUCCACAGUCCACAUUGCUGAGUUGUCCGAGUUGGAAUUCCAGUUCAUUGCGCACUCAACUUCUACCCUCCUUUGGAAAAUGGCAAGUUAUUACACUGUAUUUAUAGUCUCUUCAUGCUCUAGAAGCACCUGGCUUUUUAUUUUCUGUUUCCAUGAAUUUUAUUAUGCAUUAACAGAGUGGGACACUUUUUUAGCUCAACUUUUAGUUUGCUAAAAACAAAGGUAGGAACUCUAGUACUAUACUUAUUUUAAUUUAAGUAUGGUUUGUAUCUAUUAUUAAUUCUAACAGAAUAUAAUGUAUAUUUAUUCCACUAUAUAUAUACAUAUAUAUACAUAUAUAUAUUAUCAGAAUACAUUUGUUACAACUUAGAUUCUUUUCUUACCAAGCAUUGUGACUCUGGUGAAAGAAUACUAGGAAAAGAACUAGCUUUGUGAAAGGAUCCUCAUAUCACAAAUACAACCCUGCUCUCAAUUUUAAUUUUUGUUAAGCUUUAUAUUUUUGAUUGUUAAGCUCUGGAGAAAUCCAAAGGCUGCAUACACAGAUGUACUGUCAUGAAAGUCUUUAAAAUUUGAUACUUUGAAGCUUAGGAGAUAUAUCACAUAAAGUUUAGAUCAGUUUCCCCAAAUAUAAAAUGUAUGUUUUUGGCAGUCUAAGAUCAAUCAAAAGUAUUAUUUCUUUUUCAAUGAAGCAUAUCGAAACCAGAAACCAGUGUUAUCAAUAUUGUGAAUGGUGCAUGCUGCUUCUUCCAGAGGGAAAGAUUACUUAGUUCUUUUAUGGAGCCACUUACAGAGAUCACAAUGUUUGACUCGUGAUAACUCUAGGCACCUAAUCUGAUUUUACAUCAUGGAAUGAAUAGGAAGCAAUCAUUAUUUCAGCAGUUACUGCCUUAAGCACAAAGCUGUAGCUGAAAACAUAAUAAUUGCCCAGUUAAAACAAUCCAGACAAAUCAUUAAAACAGAGGCAAAUAUUUGAAUAGUCCCUUUCCUCAGAUGCAGAAAUUCCCAAGAUAUAAUAAAUUUGACAUUUCUGAUAAUCCCCCAAAAUAAAAAUUUAUGAAGCUCAGUUUAGAGACGAUCAUCUUACAAAUAAAUCCAAUGAGAAUGACCCAGCCCAUUUUAUUUUUCCUUUGGGUGACAUCACUGUCAAUACCAAGUCCUCACUGAUGGUCACAGUGCAUCUCCCACAGGGGACAAACAGCAAGGAAACUGGGAGUUCACCAAUUCAUUUCAACAUCAUCUUGCUGUGUUAACAGGUUCCCAUCCUUGAAAACAUAUCAUUUUUUUCCUAGAAAGAAGUGGGGACGUGGGUGGGGACAACAAGGACCCUGAAUGUUAUGUAAAAUAGGUUUUAUAAACAAGACAAGCAUGGCAAGAGGAAAUAAAUGGAAACUAUAUGAGCAUUAUUCAGUUUGAAAUAUAGUUCUCAUUUUUUAUAAGAAAAAUUUAAUGAAACAUAUAUUUUAGUUAUCAUUUAAAAAAGAAAUAUUAAAGCUAUUCAGGCAAUGCCACAAGAUUCUCAUAAGAGGAAAUCAUUGCACCCUUGUAAUGAGAAAAUGGUCAUUUCUACAUAUUUCAAUACGUUGUAUAAAUUUGGAGCUUAAGGUCCGUAUGCUUUCAUUUAGUGGUUAAGUGUUCAGUUCGGUGAUACUGAUGCUAUAUGGCUUCACACCAACACACCUCUCCUCAAGGCACCACAGAAGCAACUGUGAAGUGAACAGAUACUUUAAGUUUGUGUUUUCUACAAGUCUGUAUUUUAUGCUUCAUUUGUAUAAUGUUAAGUGCUGAUCAAAGUAUUUCAGGUUGUUUGUCAAAGUGAAGGGCCAAUACAUCAUACCCGUGGAAUCUGAGGACAGAUUACAUGUCGCAGUGGUCCUACAUACAAAUGGACAAUUCUCUUCAGUAAAAUUUAGUUUGUUGAAAUCUAAGCCAACCCCUAAAAUUUUAAUCAAAAGGAUCCAUCCCUAAGACUUAAAAGAGUUUGAACACUUGUGGCUCCUUAAGUGUCAAUGGAGCCAGAGGGAAAGGGAGAAAAAUUACCAUAAUUUGUACUAAUGCUCAUUAUUAUUAAUUAUACUCGAGUCCCUGAUAUCCCAAGUCAUAUUUAAAAACAGUAAAGACAAGUAGAUUUCUUUUAAAUGAAGCUCAAUCUUCAAUAAAAUAAAUUAGGUAUUAAAAGUUACAUGAAAAUUGAUUCUGACUCAUCAGGGACCCUAGUGAAUUUCAGUUCUUUCCCUUAUUCAAGUUGGUGGCCAGUGGGCCCGAUUUUUCUAAACUCUUUCCUGCUAUGAUUUUGAACUGCAAACACACAGUAAACACACCAUAAAAGAAUUCCAGAACCUUUUCACUGGAGCAUUUACAUUUUGAUUCUGUUGCCAUUUGAAACAGAACAUCUGCAGGGAGAUAAUGAGCUUAAAUUACAAUUGACUUUGGAAAGAAUAACAGACUUUUGUGCUUCCUCAAUCAUGUAAUCAAUAGGGAAUUCUCUAGUUAUGUGAACUACCAUUAUCUUUUAAGACAAUGCUAAGAUCUCAAUGCAAAAAUCUAGCAUUCAGGGGCUUUUUAAGGAUUUGAGGCUGUCUCUGGAGAACUUGGCUGGAGAUACAUUACAUCAAUUUACAAAUGCAGUUUCCAAAAGUGACAGCAAACUGAUCUUAUCUCAAUGCAUUUUACUCAGCUGAAAAUAUAGGACACUAAGACAUGUAAUAUUUUGUCUACAUUACUUUAAACAUCUAUAGAUAUUUGUGGAUGCAUGAAUAAUGCCUGAAUUUAUCUUUUUUUUGUCAAGUUUGUGCUUAUUACACACACACACACACCCCACCUGUAAGUAAGACCACUUUCAGAUAACAUCAUGAAGUACAUAUCAAUUCUCUGAAUAUUCAGAGGCCAAUAUACAGCAAGAUGGUCCCACUCACUCAUUCUUCUCUGGGUCUCAAACUCCCAGGAGAUAAGAAACUGUAAAUUCCUUGUCCAUAGCUUGGCCCAGUGUAGACACUUGGUAAAUAUUUGUUGAAUGAAUGAAUAAUUAAGGAAGUGGAAAGACAAAUAACUACAUUUUGCAUUCUGAUAAUUUUGCACAUUUCACCAACAUACAGUAUACUGAUGGGCACUUAAUUUCUAAAUGUCAGAGUUAGGACCAGAAUUGAUUCUUCAGUUUUUUUUUAGCUAUAUGAAUUUGGAAUCAAAUUACUUCAAAGGUUUCAGGGGUUCAAAACCUUUAGAUCGAUGUUUGGGAAUUCUAUUCUUUUUGUUUGUUUGUUUGCUUUUCAAUGAAUAAAAUCAAAGCUUUCUAGUUCUUUAUGAAAGUACUUGGAAUUAUUUGGCAGGGAUGAUCCAAAGGUGGAUCCCUAUUUCUAAAUUUUAUAAAAAGGCAUGUUUUAGCUGGGUGUUGUGUAGUGUACCCCUGAGACUCUGGAGGCUGAGGUAGGAGGAUUACAAGUUCAAGGCCAGCCUUCUGAGCAAUUUAGUGAGGCCCUCAGUACCUUGGUGAAAAUUUGUCUCAAAAAGUAAAAAGCACCUUGUAUUAAAUCCCUAGUACCCAUUUUUUUUUAAAAAAAAAAAAUUGUUUUAGUUUCUAAAAAAAAAGAAAACUCACAUAAUUGAGCAUAAUUAUUAAUAUCCCUUUAAAUAUUUACUAAGAAUAUUUCUCUAAGGAAUUCGUAGUCAACAGAAACACCAUUUCUGAAUUUUCUCCAGAUUUCAAAAGGUCACUUCCUUCUUAUUCCUAGAAAUGUACCUGAGCUAAAAGCUAAUCAUACACCUACUCAAAUUCUUCCACAUGUUUAUUCAUUUAACAAAUAUUUACUGUAUCUAAUACAUGCUAAGUUCCGGAAAUCUUGAGACAUAAGACAGAUAUAGUCUCCUCAACCUUUGCUCUAGUCAUAACUAGAGUUCAUUGUCCAGUGGGUCACCUUCAUACCUGUUAGAAUGAGUAAAAUCCCACCCCAGGGGCAUCAAGAAAUACUCUCUACUCAGAUUUAUGUGAGCUUGCUUUUCUAAACACACCUCUCAAAAAUGCUUAUUAGUGUCACAUAUAAACCACAGUUAAAACCCAGACAGGUAGGAAAUAACUUACAACAUUUAUUCAGCUCUCCCUAUUUUUAGCUACUGUGUUCAUGAACCAUCUCAUUGAAUCCUUUCAACAAUCCUAUUCAUUGGAUUCCAUUUUAUAUUGAAGAAAACUGAAGCACAGAUAGGUAACGUGUCCAAGGUCACACAGCUAGCAAGUGGAAUUGGGAAUGGAACCCAUGCAGUCUGACACAAGAGCUCACACCUAAUCAUUGUCUGUGGUUUUGGGGGAUACCAUUACAUUAAAAAGAGUCAUUAAAAUCAAUGAGUCAUUGUAUAUAAAUAGUACUUUGAAACUGUAAAGUAGUAUACAAAAGAUACUAGUAAAUUAUUACUGUUGGUCAACAAACCAUAUCAGUAACAAAAGCAGAGUUAGAAUUCAAUCUUAUGUUAUAGCUCACUCACAUGAAGACUAUUUCAAGCCAGGGACAUGGGUAAAAGUACAGAUCCAGAAAAUUUCUGACAUGCGAUAAGUAUUUCAAUGACUUUUCAGAAUUAUUUGUCAUUAGCCACUGUGUCUAUUUGGUGCUACAAAAACUGAACGAAACAAAAUCCCUGCUCUAAGGGCUUAUAUUAAAUACACAGUGUGGAGAUGAACCAAGGAUAUUUCACAUUUGUGGGGAAGGAUUGGGCAACUGUACCAUUUUUUUUUCACAAUUGCAUGUGUAUCAUGUCUUUCUAAUUGUUUUUGGUUUUGUUUUUGUUUUGAAAGAGCUGCAAAAUUGUGCAGUGGUUUAACCUGACCAAAGUGGUAUUAUGCUGCUGGGAAGUAAAAGUCUUAGAUACCAGA